CUACUGCCUACCAACAUACCUCCAAAGGGCCCUGUUGCUCGCCUGUUGAAGGAUUUGAUGUUUUGAGCAUAUGCAUUACAUAUUUGUAGAGUAAAUUAGAGGGGGAAUGACUGAACUUAUGUUGGUUGUUUGGUAUUUGACUUUAUGUUAUUGUCUGAAAUUAUGAUAUAUUGAAAUUUUCCUAUGUUGUUUAAAAGUACGCUUAAACUUUGUUUAAAACGUUUAAAAGUCAAAACUCCACCCAUGAGCGUUUGAGCGUUUCAACGUUUUCGUCAUUUUAAUAACCUUCCUCUUAGUAACUGCCAUUGUUGCAAAUCAAUUGACAAAAGUGCAACUUCUGACAAAAAACAGGUACACUUUUCUCCAAAUGAAUACAAGUAUACAACAUAAUAUCAUUCUUCUCUGUCAACAAAAAAUGUCAUCAUUUACAUGCUGAAUACUUAUUUAUGUAUAAGGACGUCAUUAGUUUCCUAUUAUCGUCACUUCUUUAAUUUGCAAACAACAAACUCUUACUUUAACUUCAUUUAUUUUUGUAUUGUGAUUGUUUACUGAGUACUCCUAUUUUGCCUACUUCUAAAUACCUGUACCUAUGCAUACAUAAAUAUACUCGGCUACUACCAAUGCAUUAUAGCUACAUUCACAUACCUUACAUGCUACCCCUCAGCUGUAAACUUUGGCGUAAUCAGCUGUGAACUUUUAACACACUAUCUUUUGUAAACUUUGGUGUAAUCAGCUGUAUAGCGCGUUUUGCUGACAAAGUCCCUCUGAACUCUCUUUUGAUGCAUGAUGCAUAUAUGUUUUAUGCAGAAUCAAACUAGGUACUCAAAAAGGCAUAUCUCUAGAUUUCUAAUUGCCAUCUUUUACAGUCUUUAGGACCGAUAGUUUGAUGCUUCAACAAAUGUGUAUAUAUGACUAAUACAUUGUCAGACCUGCUAUAUCGCUUUGCUUAUUAUCUAUAUUCAUCAAAGCAUCUAUUUGAUCAUAAUGUUAAAAGCGCGGGCAAGUUUCUAGUGCUUAUCAUUUGCCCUCCGGUCACCCCGUUGUCGCGCGAAGCCGACGCUAUUUCAUUCCCCGACAGGACCGGGGCUCCGCUGCCGCCUCUUCGCCCCUAUAUGGCGGUCCCGAGGCCUCAAAUCCGUGCCCUACGUCGGGGCACGCUGCUUCUCUUCCUUGUCCCGCUCAUCUACUCUGUGUCCAGGCUGCAACCCUGGGCUCCAGAAAAGGGUGUGUGCCUGCCACCCCCAACCGCGCCGAAGCGGCCUGACCAUCUCGUGCUCGGCCCCGCCGCCGGACAGGACCGCCCCGACCGCCUACAGUGCCGAGGACUUAGAGCUCUGAACAAGAUUGGCAUAUCAAGUGAAGAGAACUAUUCUGGAGAACAUGUUUCUUUUGCUACUGUAUUCACAACCUACAAUUCUGUCUCAGCUGGAGAUGACAAUGUUCCAUCUGAUUCUGUAACUGUUGGAAACAGUUCUUAUAGCAAAAUAGAAAGAUCCAUGGCCAUUCUGAACACUUUCAUCAGUUUCAUAAAGGUAUCAAUGCCAAGAAGCGACUUGAUCAUAUUGACUGAUCCUGGUUCAAAAAUUUCAGUAAAUCAAGGGACUGCUACACUAUUGCCAGUUGAAGGAAACUAUUCUCGAGGAAAUUUGAUGCUUCAGAGAAUAAAGACAUACAUUGCAUUUCUGGAGCAAAAGCUUGUGGAAUUUGAUAGGAUGGAGAGGUUGAAUCAUUUUGUUUUAACUGAUUCCGAUAUAGCAGUGGUUGGUGAUCUUGGACAUAUAUUCAAAAAAUAUCCUCAUUUUCAUCUGGCUGUUACUUUUCGUAAUAACAAAGGGCAACCGUUGAAUUCUGGGUUUGUUGCGGUAAGGGGAACCAGGGAUGGCAUCACUAACGCUGUGGAAUUCUUGAAACAAGUCCUUGGAACUUACAGUUUAAGAUAUAUGAAGGCUUCUCGUAUGCUUGGUGACCAAUUAGCACUUGCAUGGGUUGUCAAGUCUCAUCUACCAUCGGCUUUCGGAAAAUUUUCUAAGAAUGAAGCAUUUACUGGUGAAGUUAAUGGAACAUCUGUUCUCUUCUUGCCUUGUGCUGUUUAUAAUUGGACCCCGCCUGAGGGUGCUGGACAGUUUCAUGGUGUACCCUUGGAUGUUAAGGCUUCUUACACAUGAAUGCAUGGUGCUAACAUAGAUGUAAAAACGAGGAAGAUUGGUUCACCGCUACCCUUUCUCGCAUGUGUCAUUUAUAAUUCAAAUAAAUUUCUAGCUAUCCUAGAGUGUGUGUGGGUGUGUGGGUUUUGUUUUGGCUUUGUAUGAGGUUUCUAUCCUCACCUUUUUUCUCUUAAUAUAAUGAUACGCAGCUCUCCUGCGUUUUCGGAAAAAAAAUCAAAUAAAUUUCUAGAUACUGUGAUAAUGCCAUGCAUUGUGGAUCCAUGAUGUUUUCUUUUGUUAUAAGCUAUGCUCCGCUCCGAUUGAUGAUCACUUUGUCAGCAUGCAAAUAUGGAUCAUACUAAUUCAAUAAAUGUGCAUGUUGUGUAACAUUGUUGUAUAUGCUUUCUAUUUACUGUGACAUCCAGAGUAAUUCUUGUACCAUUUUCAGGUUGUUCAUUUCAAAGGUUCCAGAAAGCGAUUGAUGCUUGAGGCAUGGAAUUUCUACAGCUCAACCUCUAAGCUGUCUGAUAUGCUAUGCCUAAUCUUGAGAAGUGGCCGGACGAAAUAUGACUUCUGAACUUUUGGGUUAAAACUGACACAUGUUGAUACUGUUCAAAGCUGUUGUAUGUUCAAGUAUAGUACAAAAAAAUGCUGACCAUGAGGCUGUCAUUGCAAGAAUUCAGAUCAGCAUAAAAAAUUGCUAGUAGCAUUCAGUAUGUAACAAAAACAUGUGAGAACCCAUACGAGAACCACGCAGGGUGACCAUCGCCUUGUGUUCUUUUGGUUUAUCCCUACCUGUUAAAUAUGUAAUGUGGUUCCCCACCAAUGUGCGCUAUGUAGGCAAUUUCGCCGUCAGAUGUCGUCAGCAGUAUUAAAUAGAGCUGGCGCUGUUUCAAUGUGUCACCGGCAAAAUUUGCAGAUGUUUUUUUUUGCUGUCA